rnacentral:rRNA from 1 species
AGAGUUUGAUCCUGGCUCAGGAUGAACGCUGGCGGCGUGCCUAAUACAUGCAAGUCGAGCGAACGGACGAGAAGCUUGCUUCUCUGAUGUUAGCGGCGGACGGGUGAGUAACACGUGGAUAACCUACCUAUAAGACUGGGAUAACUUCGGGAAACCGGAGCUAAUACCGGAUAAUAUUUUGAACCGCAUGGUUCAAAAGUGAAAGACGGUCUUGCUGUCACUUAUAGAUGGAUCCGCGCUGCAUUAGCUAGUUGGUAAGGUAACGGCUUACCAAGGCAACGAUGCAUAGCCGACCUGAGAGGGUGAUCGGCCACACUGGAACUGAGACACGGUCCAGACUCCUACGGGAGGCAGCAGUAGGGAAUCCUCCGCAAUGGGCGAAAGCCUGACGGAGCAACGCCGCGUGAGUGAUGAAGGUCUUCGGAUCGUAAAACUCUGUUAUUAGGGAAGAACAUAUGUGUAAGUAACUGUGCACAUCUUGACGGUACCUAAUCAGAAAGCCACGGCUAACUACGUGCCAGCAGCCGCGGUAAUACGUAGGUGGCAAGCGUUAUCCGGAAUUAUUGGGCGUAAAGCGCGCGUAGGCGGUUUUUUAAGUCUGAUGUGAAAGCCCACGGCUCAACCGUGGAGGGUCAUUGGAAACUGGAAAACUUGAGUGCAGAAGAGGAAAGUGGAAUUCCAUGUGUAGCGGUGAAAUGCGCAGAGAUAUGGAGGAACACCAGUGGCGAAGGCGACUUUCUGGUCUGUAACUGACGCUGAUGUGCGAAAGCGUGGGGAUCAAACAGGAUUAGAUACCCUGGUAGUCC